UACGUAGGGUGCGAGCGUUGUCCGGAAUUAUUGGGCGUAAAGAGCUCGUAGGCGGUUUGUCAAGUCUGCUGUGAAAUCCCGAGGCUCAACCUCGGGCCUGCAGUGGGUACGGGCAGACUGGAGUGCGGUAGGGGAGAAUGGAAUUCCUGGUGUAGCGGUGGAAUGCGCAGAUAUCAGGAGGAACACCGAUGGCGAAGGCAGUUCUCUGGGCCGUAACUGACGCUGAGGAGCGAAAGCGUGGGGAGCGAACAGG
rnacentral:rRNA from 1 species